AGGGCUGAUUCCGUUUAGCAGUUUCAGUUUCCAAGUGUUUGUGCUCUUAAACAAGAAAGCUUAAGUGUUUGCUGAUUUGAGGGUUAAGUCUGCACCCUUGUGCUCCUCAAUCAGCUCUAAUGGAUCCUCUGGCUCAGACUCAGCUCGGGGACUGAUUAUGAUACAAAAGACACACAGACACACACACACAACACAGGGCGGGGCUGGAGGCUGCGUCGUGAUGAGCUAAGAGCCCUCUCCUCACCAGGGCCCUUGUGCGUGUGCAUGUGUACAUGUGUAUGGUUCACAUGGGUCCUCUCCACCUCCCUCCCUCUGUGUCUUCAUUUGGAGAGUGAACAGGUCCCCAGGGCGUAAUGUGUGCUUUUGUAUGUGUGUGUAUGUGUGGCUGCUACAUUAUUCUCCCCACUGACUUUCUAUGGGAUGAAAAAACAUGACUGUCCAUCCAGCAUGCCCCUUCCUCCCUGCCUUUAGAAAAGAGAUGAGGGCUGAGAGGAACAUGUUGUAAAGCAGAGCAGCUCUCAUGUGAAUAAAAAACACACAAGUCAGAAUACAGAAAUAAAAAGAUACAGUUGUUGCUUUGGUAUUUUACAGUUGUGUUGGCUGAAUUUUCAGACUUUCCAUUGUCAAGACUCAAAAUGUUAUACACAAAAUCUCACAUAGCACACAAGGUUUAAACAUCAGUAGGGAAUACAUCAUGCAAUAAGUUAAUCAAAAAUCAUGACCAAAAUAUUUCUGUCAACUAGUAACUAAUUCACAUCUAAACUGAGUUUGCAGCAGUGAUUUCUUUAAGUAUAUAUGUAUAUAUGCAGAAGUCAGUAUUCAAAAUGAUGCAGAGUAAGAAUGACUUUUGUCAUCUGGAUAUGCUGUGUUACUGUUGAUAUAGAUAAAGAAGUUUAGAGUCUAACUUCCACAAUAAACCAAAGAUUCA